CAAACGGACUGUCUCAUACACACUGUCAUCAUUGUCAACUCAGAAGCCCGAACAACUUUGAAGAAUCUGCUCUGAACAAGAUAAAGUUCAGCUGUAAAUCUCCAUUCCUUUGCUGUACCAGGCCCCCCACUUAGUGUAUUUGGCAAGCUGAGUUGGACACUGUGCAUCAUUGAGUGUCAGUUUGUCAAAUACACCAAGUGAGGAGUUACUCAUCAACAAAUUAAAUGACCAGUAUAGGGCAUUAAUAGUGUUGCAAUGGAGAUUUGAUGAGUUCUGGUAGACCCAUGUAACAUUAUGCUGCAACAGUAAUUUACAACAUUAUUGACUCUGUGAAUGUUGGUUAAUCUUUUUGCUUGUUAUUGACCAAAGACGGUUAACUGUUUGAUUUUCUAACUUUUCUCAUUUCUAACAGUUUUGGGAAGGCAACUGCUAUUGUGAUUUGGGGCUAUACAAAAAUAAAUGGAGUAUUGCAUGGAGUAAUUGAUUAUGCUGCAUGCUGUUAAACUGUAUGUUUCACUGUAUAGUUUAUAGAUUUUUCCAGUAAUUUGUUUGUAGGUGAUGAGUAAAGGUUAGGCAAUGACUAAAACAUCUGCUUUAUCUUCCAGUGUGGAGAUGCUAAGGCUGGAUCCCCAGACGCUUUGAACAGUGUUUUUGUCAUUGCUUAAGGAAAGGUGGUUAAAGUUUGUAUAAUUGUAACAGUUUAAUGUGUGAUACUAUUUGGAGGUUUUAUCAUUUAAAUUUAACAGUGUAGUAACAUUAGCUCACAUUUCCUGUUCCUGUCUUUGUACAUUUGAUGUUUGAGAAGACAUUUUGGUAACACUUUAUCCGCCCCUUAAUUAGCCUUAAUAAAACAUGGGAAAAGACGUAAUUCAUAAUGAACAAA